UAAAACCUGGGCCCUCUUCUUUCCAAAUGU
rnacentral:piRNA from 1 species